GAUGAACGCUGGCGGCGUGCCUAAUACAUGCAAGUCGAGCGAACAGACGAGGAUCUUGCUCCUCUGACGUUAGCGGCGGACGGGUGAGUAACACGUGGAUAACCUACCUAUAAGACUGGGAUAACUUCGGGAAACCGGAUCUAAUACCGGAUAAUAUAUUGAACCGCAUGGUUCAAUAGUGAAAGACGGUUUUGCUGUCACUUAUAGAUGGAUCCGCGCCGCAUUAGCUAGUUGGUAAGGUAACGGCUUACCAAGGCAACGAUGCGUAGCCGACCUGAGAGGGUGAUCAGCCACACUGGAACUGAGACACGGUCCAGACUCCUACGGGAGGCAGCAGUAGGGAAUCUUCCGCAAUGGGCGAAAGCUUGACGGAGCAACGCCGCGUGAGUGAUGAAGGUCUUCGGAUCGUAAAACUCUGUUAUUAGGGAAGAACAAAUGUGUAAGUAACUAUGCACGUCUUGACGGUACCUAAUCAGAAAGCCAUGGCUAACUACGUG
rnacentral:rRNA from 1 species